AGUAUGACGGAAGCCCGUCUGGUCGGGAUGAUGCAUACUUAAAAGGAAGAGGUCUGGACACCGACCAAAAAUGGUUUAAAAGAGUUAUUUACGUUUCGGCUCCCCCACGGGAGCCUUGUUCACAAUGAAAGAAGCGGCAGAGCUGGCGCCCCUUUUUAUGUGCGUCUCAAAACAUGAUUAAGGCACCUGGCAUACAUGGGCGGCAGAUUGCCUUCGUUGCGAUUAAGAGUGUGCGCCGUGGUUUGGAUGAUUAGGGACUCGCAACGAAGGCAAUCUGCCGCCCAUGUAUGCCAGGUGCCUUAAUAGAAAAUAUUGAUGGUGAACGGCUAGUAAAACACUGCAGGGCUUGCACCAACUGUAUUCCACGGUUCCGAGAUGUGAGGAUUUCGGGUAGCGGCAGGCAGCAAACGGCGGGUGACACCUUUGAAGCUUUUUACAUAAAAAAAAGCUGGUCCGAAUUGUGUCAGGGACACAUCUGUCUUUCCGUACGAGGCCGAGCAGCAGAAAUUUCCUUCACGCUUACUGAGAUAACGUGUGUGUUUUUUUUUUGUUUUUUAACUGAACCUACUUGAUGCCUCGUACGCGUUCGCAUGCACUCGGGGUCCGGGAAGGCUAUAUAUACGCAGGAUGCCUUUACGCUCAUCAAGCAGUUGAAGUAAGCGCCCGUGUCGUCUCCUUUCUUGUGCGAGUGCUUUUGGCGCAAAACUCCUUUGUUAUGCUGAGCGAGUUUGGAGUUCCGGUUAUUUUGCAAGCAUAUAUUGUAGCCACACGGACAAGUGAGAUUACGCCAAUAACGCCAAGCCUAUGGACUUCAGAAGGAAAGCCUUGAAGUGGGGCGUUUUAUCCACAGAAAAAAAUCGGUGGAUCUCCCGCAUUCGUGUCAAUCGGUGCUAAAUGGAGUUUAACUGUUAAGUUUACUGAAAUGUCCUUACUUCCACUCACCCUCUAAACUUCUUUGUAGCUUGUGGCGCACCCACUUGAUUUAGACGUGCGUGGCGGUAUAGGAGGAGGAGGAAAGGGAAAAGCAGAAGGAAGGGAAGUUAACCAGAAUAACGUCCGGUUGGCUACCCUACACCGGGGGAAUGAAAAGGUGAAAACAAAGAUGACAGGGAGAGAGAGGAGGGAAGGAAAGAAGGAAAUUAGCGGUGACUUCGCUAACGCGUGUGGUCUAAUAGAAAUUGCAUUAUUAGUCACAGACAUCGGGCAAAGGGGAGGCAUCUGGCCAUGAUCGACCGGCGAAACCUGAUCCGGCGGGCCGUGUCGUGAACCCGGUGCUUGAGCUUAGCUCCGGCUUAUGCCAUCCUCUUCUCGGGUGCAGCCAAUGGUUGCACCGCUGCAAGUAUGCCUCCUCAGUUCUUUUUCCGACCAAAACGAGAAAGAAAGCGCUAAACCGCCAACAGAAAAGUACGCCCAACCAAGACAGAACGCUAGAAAACAGGGAAGAAAAAGAAAAGGAAGCACUGAAAACGUGCAUAGAUGUGAAAGCUAUAUGCAUGUAUACAUAGCACGCAGAUUUAGCUAUUCGCAAGAUCGUAAACCGUAGCGUCGUCUACGAGGGGAAAGUCUGAUAAAAAAAAGACCCCAGCUUAUUUGUUGCUUUGAAAAACAUUGAAACCCCCCUUUUUUUUUUUCGUGUGUCGUUGGCGUCGUUCACCAGGUCCCACUCUCCAGCGUAAAAAGCCUUCACUGGAAACACUGCCAAAGGCGUAAAUGACCAUCACUUGAGCACAAUACGUGAACGGGAACAAGUACUUCGCAGCUGUUAGCCGAUUCUAACGAGUGCGGCAACAAGUGUUCUUUUUUUUUGUUUAGUCGAAAUAAGAUUAUCAUAAGGCACAAUAAUAAAGAAAGCGCUUGAGCUUUUACAAUCUUGUCCGUUCCGUGUACAGAUGUUGCAAUUGCGUAUCUCAUCCCUCUACUUCUUCAUUUGAUUGUGACCGGCAGCUGCUAGAUGAUUUAUACCGAGUCUCUAAACGUCACGUGUGUAUAAUGUUUCUUUCGUGUGUUGCUCUUAAGAAACUUCAUAAGACGGAAAACACUUGUCUGGUCUCGUUCUCUUCGUGUUAUCGCCGUUUUGCGGAUUCAUUUAAGGUGAGCAUCCGUGCAUCGAGAAUGACCUAAUGGCUGGAUAAUAACAUUUGGCCCUCCUUGUAGCGGGGAUAUUAGCCGGUGUAAUAUGAACGUCUCGCCGUGAGUCACGAUACCCUGCAUGU